CAAUUAACUGACAAUUAACUGCUCGGUCAGAGAGAGGCGCCGGUCGGAGUAAAGAUGUUCAGUCUGUCGGUUAGUUGGCGCUUGGUUGAUGAGGGAACACGCUGCACGCAGCACAGCAGGACCAGCAUGCAUCUUCCGGAGCAGCAGCCCAUCUUCCUCCUCUCCGAUCAGAAGAAUAGCGGAUUUCCAAUUCUCCUCAGGCACAAGCGCCGAGCUUUCUGAAUGGACACUGGAUUCCAGACCUUCAAAAGACCUCUCUGUUUGUUUCUGAGCGCGGCAUGGAUCGGCCCUCAUACAGCAACACCGUCCGCUGCCUUCUGAUAGGUGGCUCCUCAUCCUCAGUGCUCUGAAGACUCCAGCAGGUGGGGACAGUGGUGGAGCUGAAGGCUUCAAAGGUGUUAAAAAACCAAACUAGGUCAAAAGAAACACACCUGCAGGUCACAAACAAACUGUGGGUUUUUACGCAGGAUUUGAGUUUCAGUGUGCAGGAGUCAAAGACGUCAAAC